rnacentral:rRNA from 1 species
UACGUAGGGGGCAAGCGUUGUCCGGAUUUAUUGGGCGUAAAGAGCUCGUAGGCGGCUAUUCGCGUCGGAUGUGAAAGCUUAGGGCUCAACCCUGAGAGGCCAUUCGAUACGGGAUAGCUAGAGGUAGGUAGGGGAGAUCGGAAUUCCUGGUGUAGCGGUGAAAUGCGCAGAUAUCAGGAGGAACACCGAUGGCGAAGGCAGAUCUCUGGGCCUUACCUGACGCUGAGGAGCGAAAGCUGGGGGAGCGAACAGG